GAAAGUGAUAGAAGAGGUCUUUCGACCUCAUUUCCACCAGGCAGGCAUCUCACCCAUCAGUCACCCCCUAAGCUCCGCCCACCGAUGACAAGAGCGCCGCCUGCUGGAACCUGCGGGAAGUAGGCCGUCAGUCGACCUCUCCUACUCCCCCCCACACACCACCCUUCGUCUCCCACCUCCCCGCCAGCCUCGACAGUACACAUUGAUAUGUAAAGUUCAUUGCCUCAGAAGCGAGAUGGACACCUGAUAAGAGAAGGUCAUCAAUUUAUUGUGGCUGGGCGCGAGCGGUUUCCGGCCUGUGUGUGCGCUCGGCAAAAAAAGGCAUCAGUCAGUGUGUCAUGGCAGUGCCUCUGUGGCAGCACAGAAAAGGAGAAAGUGAAGGAGAUUUCGUGGAAUGUGGGCUUCACCGCCAUGGCGUCUCCCGUGACCUCCUGCCCGGCCUGCUGACCCGCCGCUGUCGUUCAAAGAGACAAGCGCCCGUGGGCAAUCGUGUGUGUGUGUAUGUGUCAGGGGGGUCGCUUUAAAAAAUUUAGGACACAGGUCUCUCCCCCCCCUACUGAUGUGCCGACUCAGCUUUAGAAGAGGUCUCGCUGCUGCGCCAUCGGAGACCUCUUCCUUGUCGUGCUCGGCAGCGUAGCGUAGUUCGGCAGGGGUCAAAGGGCGGAGGUGAGCGAGAGGUCGCCGGCCUUGCCCUGGCCUUGUGCUUGCCAGCGUGUUUGCACAAAAGCCAGCGAGCCCCUGGCCUCCACUGACGCUGGCACUGGCUGACAACACGGAGCCCGCGACCCGCCACGUCACGCAAAAAGUGCGCGCGCUGUGUCGCUCCUGCCGAGCGCUGGUCGGCUGCGCUGACAAAUGGCUGGCUUUUGGAAUAUAUCUGUUUUGAAGUGCCCCCCGACUCCAGACGCUCUCAGGUAAUAAAGCCAUUUUUCUUUUCUGUUACGGGACGAGGGGGAACCGGAUUUAGUAGUUAUCGAUCAGGGAGGUGGGUAAAGAGUGUGUCAGGGAGGGUGGCAGUGUUUUACGCUGACUGGCCUAGAUAACCGCUCUCACCUCGUUUCCUCUCCUUACGCGGGAGCAGACGACCGCGGCAGGCGCCAUGUUGUUUUUCCGUCCAGGUCCGCACCGUGUUUCUUUUAUUCUCUUCUUAAUUAAAAAGCACUUCAGAUAAGAAUCCAAUAAAAUCGUCUGAACAAGUCUUAAACACAAAGAGCCAGCCGCAUAAAUAUACAGUUUUAAAAAUCCCUUUUGUCGACACGCAGGUAGUGAAAGACGCCCCAACGGUCAAGUCAGUUAAACACUCGUGUUGUGAAUGGCGGGGAAGCCGGACUAUAUCGUAUGACGAACUGGUGGCGACAUAGUAAGUACACCAUAAUGCAGGCAUCAACACUCGCAAAGCUCGGGCUUAGUUCUGCUCCAUUCUCUAAAGGCAAGUUUCAUUUUUAUGAUUUUAGCACCGCGUUGCUAGCCGGCCCUGCUUGCCAGUGUCUGAUGCGGCUUUUGUUGUUUGGAGAGAGGGAGGCAGCUUUUUCAUAGUGACAAAAUCGAGAGACAAAAGGUUGUGAACCACCCAGUCGAGACAUCUCACAGCUUAACAUUUGCUCUGUGCUCUUCCAUUUCAGAGUAAUUUAAAACAUAUUUAUAUUCCUCUACACAAACAUUGGAAAAAAGAGUCAAAGCAAUCUCAUUGCAUUAUAUUUUUAAGAGAUUAUAACUCAUUAAGAGCCCCAAAAAAUAGGAAAAUUCAUACAUCUGAAAAGUAUGUUUGUAAUUAUUUGUUUAGCAUAACUCAGUCUGAGCUGUUCCCUGGCAACACUGAAACCGCACCAUCAUUAUUUCUGGAACCAAAGUUGAUUUCUGAUGUUUAUCAAGCUGACAUAGGUAGAAAUGUCGAAGGGUUUUCUUGGCAAGAAAUGAGAUAAUGGGUGCAACUUAUUUUUUGUAGUCUGGCGCUGACCUUUUUGUUUCACUCUCUCCAGAAAAACAAUUUCACAAAAUAAAUGUGCAUAAUGGCAAGUAAUAUUUGCAGUUUGUUACUAAUCAGUAGACCAACAGUAAAAUUAAUUUAUUGUUAGGGAGAGCCUGAAAGAAGAAAAUUGCAAAACAUCAGAAAUUUUCUAAAGUUUUGAUAUCUUUUACUGGAAUUAAGCAGAGUAAUAAUCUCGAGGUAACUGUAAAGCUUCUAGAAAGGGUUUGCAACUUUAAAAGUGCAUUUAUGGAAAUUAUAAAAGGCAGACUUUUUCUACAAGUUUUAUUAGGCAAAGAGGUGGAAUGUAAAUGAUUUUCAGAUAUUUCUAUUCCUUUAAAAGCAUAUUGGCAUUUCAAAUCCUUUUCAGAAUACUUAAAGCGACCCUGAAGGCAUUGCAGUUCUGCAUUUUUCUUUAAAUUUUGCACACAUUUAAAAAGCAGCAAACUCGAGAAUUAUGUCUGCUUUUAUCUGUUUAUCCUUUUUGAACAUUUGAUUUGAGUAAAGAGAAAAGAGGCUUGCAAUUUUUAACAAUAAAAAAUUGAAUUUUUAUAGCCUUAACAUCGUUCAUGUCAUAAAAAUUGUCUUUUCAAAAUGACUAAUAAUAAGUGAAAACUUGAUUACUUUUUUCUUAUGAAACUGUCAGACCUGUAUCAUUAAUAGUUUAUGAUGCCGUAAAUGGCCACCAUUGUCAUAACAGGAGAACAAAAUUUUGUGAUGACAACCUUAAGUUCGGGUGUAAUGUAAAAUCUUACAAAUAUUUUUAUUUUGUAGGAAUUAAGUGCUGUGCCGUGGAGAUGUUCUCUGUGAUGAUAAAGUAACUGCCGGGAGCGAUCGGUUUGGUUGGUUGUAACGGUACAUGCGAAAGGUGUGUUCGUAUCAUCCAUGAUUCGAAUGUGUCGAUUGUGUGGGUAUUGCAAAAAGCACAUUGAUUUUAUAGGGCAACAAAUUUAAACGAAAUCAUAAAAAAUUGCUAAAAUUUGAAACACCGACCUUCCAUCGUCGGUUAACGCCUUGUUACA